CACAGCCAGAAACAGAAGUCCGAAAGGAAAGAAAAGCCACUGGAGAGCAGAUUGAGGAAAACAGGUGGCCACGGGGCCAGGGGCACGCUUCUUCCAGUUCUCCAAGUUGGUAAUUUUUCUUUUCUACCUUAAAUAUCACUGUCACCAAGCUGGGCACCUCAAACUCCUAACUGCUUCACACUCCCAGGUACCCCAAAGUCAAGGCCCAUGUUAGAAGACCAUAUGUGGACCCGGUGACCCGGGGCUCGCCAGGCCCAUGCCAACCACAUAGAUCAUGCUGGACCAUACCAUGUCCAGGACCAUGGGAUGGCUGGUUGGAGAAUGGGCCCUGGAACCCACACGCAAGCACAGCUUGGCUGGUUUCUUACUGAGACUGUGGAGGCUGCUGGCCCCCUCACCUCCAGGGAGAAGACUCAGGAAAGGAUGUAGACACUGUAGGAGUUGUAGGUGACUGGGCAUGGCUGUGUCUUUAGCAUCUUUCUGGGGCAAUUGGUAAAAGAAAUGUAUAUUGCCCAUUGAUGCAGAGACCUCCUCUGUGUUGGAUGCUGGGCGUACAAACACAGAUAAGCCUCAGCCCCUGCCCUCAAGGUGUUCACAGUCACAAGGGGGAAGCACAUGAACAAUCAGACCAUCAAUACAGGGUGAUCUGUUCAGCAACUGAGGGGUUUAUGCAGCUCUGGGGGAGGCCUGGCCUCCAGGAGAUGCUCCUCCCUGAGGCUGGCCCUUCCAUCCCGCAGCCACACCAGAUUCCCCAACUCCUCCCCUCUGUCCUGUGUAAGAUUCCCUGAGCCUGCAAAGGUAUCAAUUAGCUAGUCAGCUUUCUAACUAAUGCAACAGUGCAAGUGCUAAUGAGAGAGGAUCUGAGGAGUUCCUUCCUUCUUGCUGAUGUGCCAGUGGGACACGAAAAUACACCCCCACCCACCCCACCAUGCCAAGGUCAUGGAGAGGACCUAGGUGAGCCUCCCACACCUGGCUCACCAUCCCUGCCCAGGGGACAUCCAGCCAUGCCCACACGGAUCUUUGAAGAAAAAUGCUUCCUCUCUGCUCGUGGUGACUCUACUGCUGGGAAUUUCCUUUAACAGAAGAGGAAGAAAGCAGGGGUGGUUGGGGGGAUGGCGAGAGGGACUCUGACAUACGCCCUCCUGUCUGCAUAUAGCUUUGCUGCUUGUGGCUGCCAACACUUUCCUGUUUGUCUGUCUGCCUGCUGCUCCUCAUCCUAGUGAGGACCAAGGCGUCCUCCCCCACGGUAGCCGUCUCUGUCCCAGGCCUGGAAGAGCAUCCAUUGUGCCUCACUUUAUUUCCUGUCCCCAUUACCCUGCCUCUGGCUGCCUCUCCUCUCUAUUGUGGGCUCAGCACACAAAGCUCUUGUGGCUGCCGGCGGGGUGGGGUGAAGGGAAGAACUGCUGGUGGAGGAGAGUGGAUCUAGCUGCCAAGGCCUGGGGAGCACACUCAGGCAACCCUUCCCCUUCCCCCACUUUUAUCUCAGGAGUCAGCUGCCUGCCCACCAAGUCCUCAUCACUCUCUCUGUCUUACUUACCUCCAACAGGGGAUGAACGUAGGGCACUUAGCUUCUUCCACCAGAAGGGCCUCCAGGAUUUUGACACUCUGCUCCUGAGUGGUGAUGGAAAUACUCUCUACGUGGGGGCUCGAGAAGCCAUUCUGGCCUUGGAUAUCCAGGAUCCAGGGGUCCCCAGGCUAAAGAACAUGAUACCGUGGCCAGCCAGUGACAGAAAAAAGAGUGAAUGUGCCUUUAAGAAGAAGAGCAAUGAGACACAGUGUUUCAACUUCAUCCGUGUCCUGGUUUCUUACAAUGUCACCCAUCUCUACACCUGCGGCACCUUCGCCUUCAGCCCUGCUUGUACCUUCAUUGUGAGUUCUCUGGUGCCCAGCGCUCAGGCCCCCAAGCAUCCCUUCUCACAUCUACCCCCGGCUUUCCUCUGUAGCUCUGGAAAACUCUGGCCUACCAGAUGCAGGACCCUCAUGAACUUCCUGGCCCCAGACCAAUUUCCCUCUGUGUCCCUUUCCCUUCCUUCCUCAAGCCCCUCAUUUCCCAGAUGUGAGACCUUGGCGUUCUGGUCCCCCAGCCUCUCUCCCCAUUUAGGAACUUCAAGAUUCCUACCUGUUGCCCAUCUCGGAGGACAAGGUCAUGGAGGGAAAAGGCCAAAGCCCCUUUGACCCCGCUCACAAGCAUACGGCUGUCUUGGUGGGUGAGUAUCAGGUUUCCCACUUCAUCCCAACAUCUGCUUUCUCCAGUCACGCUGUGAAAUAUGGAAUAUUACAGAGUUUUCCAAAAGGCAGGGGAAGCUGGGUGUAGUGAUGCAUGCAUAUGGUCCCAGUUAUUUGGAAGCUGAGGUUGAAGGAUGCUUGAGUUUAGGGGUUUGAGUCUAGCCUGGGCAACACAGCGAGAUCAUCUC
rnacentral:sRNA from 1 species